CUAGAGGCAUGUGAUUGCCCUGGAUUUCCAUAUAUGGUUCCAUUGCCUUGGACCAAAAGACAAUGCAGAGUUUUGUAAUGUGGGAAGGGGAAAGCUUUCUGAACUUGACCAACAGGAAGCAACAAGUCAUCUAACACAAAUGCGUGAAGAGACAGGGUAGCAGAUGUACUUCCCUCUUUACCAGCAUCCUCAGCCAGAGUGUCGGCCAUGAACCUUGAGACAGAUGGGGUUUCAUCAUACUGCCCAUGUUCAAGAUGGGGUCUUGAACUCCUGGGCUCAAGCAAUCCACCCACCUUGGCCUCCCAAAGUGCUGGGAUUACAGGCAUGAGCCAUAGCAACCGGCCUGUUAUUAUUUAUUACUUAUAUUACUAUUUAACUUGCCAGAUAUG